rnacentral:rRNA from 1 species
UCUGGUUGAUCCUGCCAGUAGUCAUAUGCUUGUCUCAAAGAUUAAGCCAUGCAUGUCUAAGUAUAAAUAGUAUACAGUGAAACUGCGAAUGGCUCAUUAAAACAGUUAUAGUUUAUUUGAUAAUUGACAAUUACAUGGAUAACCGUGGUAAUUCUAGAGCUAAUACAUGCUUAAACGCCCGACUUUAUGGAAGGGUGGUAUUUAUUAGACUGAAGCCAAUAUUCCUUGUGUCUAUUGCGGUGAUUCAUAAUAACUGAUCGAAUCUCUUUUUGAGAUAAAUCAUUCAAGUUUCUGCCCUAUCAGCUUUCGAUGGUAGUGUAUUGGACUACCAUGGCAGUAACGGGUAACGAAGAAUUAGGGUUCGAUUUCGGAGAGGGAGCAUGAGAAACGGCUACCACAUCUAAGGAAGGCAGCAGGCGCGUAAAUUACCCAAUCCUGACUCAGGGAGGUAGUGACAAGAAAUAGCAAACCGGGAACCUCAUGGUUUCACGGUAUUGCAAUGAGAACAAUUUAAAACCCUUAGCGAGAAUCAAGUGGAGGACAAGUCUGGUGCCAGCACCCGCGGUAAUUCCAGCUCCACUAGCGUAUAUUAAAGUUGUUGCAGUUAAAAAGCUCGUAGUUGAACCUCUGUCUGGGGCUAGUUUUGGCUUUGGUCAGGCUAGUUCUAGGCAUCCGCCUACAAGACUUAGAGGGCAUUCAGUUGUUCACUAGGAGGAGUAGGCAUUUUACUUUGAAAAAAUUAGAGUGUUUAAGGCAGGCAAUCGCCCGCAUAUAUUAGCAUGGAAUAAUAGAAUAGGACACUUUUCCAUUUCGUUGGUUAUUGGAAUCGUGUAAUGAUUAAUAGGGACAGUUGUGGGCAUUUGUAUUUAAUUGUCAGAGGUGAAAUUCUUGGAUUUAUUAAAGACAAACUAACGCGAAAGCAUUUGCCAAGGAUGUUUUCAUUAAUCAAGAACGAAAGUUAGGGGAUCAAAGACGAUCAGAUACCGUCCUAGUCUUAACUAUAAACUAUUCCGACUCAAUGUUUGACUGGCUUAUAUAACCAGUUGAGCGUUCUAUGAGAAAUCAAAGUCUUUAGGUUCUGGGGGGAGUAUGGUUGCAAAGCUGAAACUUAAAGGAAUUGACGGAAGAGCACAACCAGGAGUGGAUUCUGCGGCUUAAUUUGACUCAACACGGGGAAACUUACCAGGUUAAAACAAUAGUGGGAUUGACAGUUUGAGAGCGCUUUCUUGAUUGGUUGGGUGGUGGUGCAUGGCCGUUCUUAGUUGGUGGAGUGAUUUGUCUGCUUAA